AACCUUUAUUUUAAGCAAAGUAGAUUGGGCGAGCUUACCUUCAGAGUAAGGGAUUCCAGAGCCUUCAUGCCCUCAUCAAAACCAAGGUCCUUCCUGUACUUGUCCACGAUGCUUGACACCAGAGGACACCAGUCAGGCUCCUGGUUUUGGAAAGAGGGCAUAGGUCGUAUAUCAUCCUCGAGGUCAACAACCUCGGGAGUACUCCUUGCCCGAGGAUGUGACCGAGGUGGACCGGUAGGAGUCUCCGUGGCCUGUGUGGUCGGGGUAGGUCCUCGGGCAGAAGUUUCACCAAGGCCACUCCUGAUAUUCUCCGUUUCCCGAGCUCUCUUCUUUCCCCUCUUCUGCCCUGGAACUCGGGUCUGAGGGGCCUUUGACUUCUUGGUCACGGCCUGCCUAAGGGCUGAAGGAUCAAAAGUCAUCUCUGCAAAAAAAGAACAAGUCAUUAGAACGAGCACAAUUAUAAGUUCAAGGAUAGAUCAGUAAAGAGGAAGGUAAAAAGGUCCUACCCUCAGUGCCUUUCACAUCCGCGAGAUCGAGAACGUCAUCCCCGAGGAUGUCAUCUAUAUCAUAUACAAGAGGCUCGAGGUUCUCUAACAUUACCCUAUGCCUCUCUAAAGAUUCAAAAUAGGCCUGGCCUUCACAAAAUCGAGGAGUGUCGGGCAAAACCCACCUAGGGCUAAAAGGAAGGUCGCUAUCCUGAGGUAUAACAUAAAACCACUUUUCUUUCCAACCUUUUAAAGAGCUAGGCAUCCUCGGUAAUCUAAAUCCUCCUCGGGAUGAAAGGUAAGCAAAGCAAGUAUAUUGAGGAAGCUGUUUCAGGUCGAACACCAUCCUACAGAGAUCGACGUAUGGGUUAAUUCCUAGGUAUCUACAGGCUAUAAAAAAAUAGAUAAGCAUCCUCCACCCAUUUGGCACGAGCUGUCCAGGGCUCAUAUUAUGCUCGACCAAUAAGGCCACAAAAAAGGGAUGCAGAGGCCAUCGAAAUCCCCCCUUUAGUGAGUCCCUAAAAAUCACAAACUCUCCUUCCCGAGGAAAGGCCAUCCUAUCCUCUACCCCUGGUGUCCUAACGUCGCAUUUGGGCAUGAGCCCAUGCUCCCUAGCCGUCGAUAUUGCUAGAUGUUCUUUAAAUUUACA
rnacentral:lncRNA from 1 species